rnacentral:rRNA from 1 species
GACGAACGCUGGCGGCGCGCCUAACACAUGCAAGUCGAACGGAGCUGAGAGAAGCUUGCUUUUCUUAGCUUAGUGGCGAACGGGUGAGUAACGCGUGAGUAACCUGCCCUGGAGUGGGGGACAACAGUUGGAAACGACUGCUAAUACCGCAUAAGCCCACGAUCCGGCAUCGGAUUGAGGGAAAAGGAUUUAUUCGCUUCAGGAUGGACUCGCGUCCAAUUAGCUAGUUGGUGAGGUAACGGCCCACCAAGGCGACGAUUGGUAGCCGGACUGAGAGGUUGAACGGCCACAUUGGGACUGAGACACGGCGCAGACUCGUACGGGGGGCAGCAGUGGGGGAUAUUGCACAAUGGGGGAAACCCUGAUGCAGCGACGCCGAGUGGAGGAAGAAGGUUAUCGGAGUGUAAACUCCUGUAGUUAGGGACGAUAAUGACGGAACAUAACAAGAGAGAACCGGAUAACUACG